GCGCCGUUAGCUCAGUUGGUAGAGCAGCUGACUCUUAAUCAGCGGGUCGAAGGUUCGAGCCCUUCACGGCGUACAA
rnacentral:tRNA from 2 species